GGGGUUGUGGCUCGAUGGUAGAGCACUCACCUAGCAUGUGUGAGGCACUGAGUUCAAUUCUCAGCACCA
rnacentral:tRNA from 1 species